AUUUUGGACAAUGGGGGAAACCCUGAUCCAGCCAUCCCGCGUGUAUGAUGAAGGCCUUCGGGUUGAAAAGUACUUUUGGCAGAGAAGAAAAGGUACGUACUAAUGCGAGGUAAUGCUGCCGGUCUCUGCAGAAUAAGAUCCGGCUAACUACGUGACUGCAGCCGCGGUAAUGCGUAAGGUGCAAGCGUUAAUCGGAAUUACUGGGCGUAAAGCGUGUGUAGGCGGUUCGGAAAGAAAGCUGUGAAAUCCCAGGGCUCAACCUUGGAACUGCAUUUUUAACUGCCGGGCUAGAGUAUGUCAGAGGGGGGUAGAAUUCCACGUGUAGCAGUGAAAUGCGUAGAUAUGUGGAGGAAUACCGAUGGCGAAGGCAGCCCCCUGGGAUAAUACUGACGCUCAGACACGAAAGCGUGGGGAGCAAACAG
rnacentral:rRNA from 1 species